AGCAAGAGGUGCUAAGAUUUCGCCGCUGCCUAAAUCUGACCUGCUCAGAAGGAGCAGACCCUCACAAUCUGCCUCUGCAGUAGCUUAUGGCCGCUUCCAGAUGUGAAUGGAAGGAAAACAACUGACUUGCUUUGGGAGAGGCUGUUCUCACAAUUAUAUGUACCGAGUCGCCUACCGCUUGGGUCAGAGUGGGGCUAGCAGGCAGGAGAACAGGCCUGUGAUCUGCUGUGGCAAGUCACCUCCUUGUGUCAGCCAACAUCGUUCUCCUCCUGCUUUGUCUUGCACACCCAAGGCCUGAUUUCUGAGAGCUGCUCUGGUUGGAGCCGAGGAGUAUUUUGCCCAGGCGAUAAUUUCCAGGGAUGCCUGCACGGGAUGGAGCUCAGAACAAUGGAGACAUCUCUCUAGAUGUCUGGAGGAGUAUGAGCUGUUUCUCCGAACGUGUAUCUGAAGUGUGUGGGUCUUCUCCAGUUGUCCACUCCUUGCCAUGCUGGAACCAAGGAUGCUGGUUUUCUUGUAUCUCUUAAAAUAGAGUAGUUUUUGAAGCAAAGAUAUACUUUGAUUUGACACUAAUCUCUUGCAAACGUAACGGAGCAUCAGUCUUCGUUGGCACAGCGCAACGCUAAUGUAUGGCUGCAUUUGCUCUCCUGCUCCCUCCCCAGAUCCCCUCCUAAGUCCGGGAUUAAGACUAGUAGCAUCUAGUGAAUCCCAGUCUGAUGUCUUCUCUGUCAUUC